rnacentral:RNase_P_RNA from 1 species
UGCCACAGAAAAGAUACCGCCCCCACUGCUUUCUUGCUUCAUCCCCCCCUGCUUCGAUUUGCGAAGCAAAGCGGGGGGGAGAACAGCAAGAAGUGGGGGAGGAAAGUCCGGGCUCCUGCGGGAAGGAUGGCCGCUAAUUACGGCUCCCUGCGAAGGGAAGGAAAGUGCCACAGAAAAGAUACCGCCCCCACUGCUUUCUUGCUUCAUCCCCCCCUGCUUCGAUUUGCGAAGCAAAGCGGGGGGGAGAACAGCAAGAAGUGGGGGGUAAGGGUGCAAUGGCGAGGUAAGAGCUCACCGUCUGCCGGGUAACUGGCGGAGCAAGGUAAACCCCAUCCGGAGCAAGGCCAAGUAAGAGAGAUUGCCCCGCAA